GAUGAACGCUGGCGGCGUGCCUAAUACAUGCAAGUCGAGCGAACGGACGAGAAGCUUGCUUUUCUGAUGUUAGCGGCGGACGGGUGAGUAACACGUGGAUAACCUACCUAUAAGACUGGGAUAACUUCGGGAAACCGGAGCUAAUACCGGAUAAAAUUUUGAACCGCAUGGUUCAAAAGUGAAAGACGGUCUUGCUGUCACUUAUAGAUGGAUCCGCGCUGCAUUAGCUAGUUGGUAAGGUAACGGCUUACCAAGGCAACGAUGCAUAGCCGACCUGAGAGGGUGAUCGGCCACACUGGAACUGAGACACGGUCCAGACUCCUACGGGAGGCAGCAGUAGGGAAUCUUCCGCAAUGGGCGAAAGCCUGACGGAGCAACGCCGCGUGAGUGAUGAAGGUCUUCGGAUCGUAAAACUCUGUUAUUAGGGAAGAACAUAUGUGUAAGUAACUGUGCACAUCUUGACGGUACCUAAUCAGAAAGCCACGGCUAACUACGUG
rnacentral:rRNA from 1 species